CCUACGGGAGGCAGCAGUGAGGAAUAUUGGUCAAUGGACGAGAGUCUGAACCAGCCAAGUAGCGUGAAGGAUGACUGCCCUAUGGGUUGUAAACUUCUUUUAUAUGGGAAUAAAACGUUCCACGUGUGGGAUUUUGUAUGUACCAUAUGAAUAAGGAUCGGCUAACUCCGUGCCAGCAGCCGCGGUAAUACGGAGGAUCCGAGCGUUAUCCGGAUUUAUUGGGUUUAAAGGGAGCGUAGGUGGAGUGUUAAGUCAGUUGUGAAAGUUUGCGGCUCAAGCGUAAAAUUGCAGUUGAAACUGGCAGUCUUGAGUACAGUAGAGGUGGGCGGAAUUCGUGGUGUAGCGGUGAAAUGCUUAGAUAUCACGAAGAACUCCGAUUGCGAAGGCAGUUCACUGGACUGCAACUGACACUGAGGCUCGAAAGUGUGGGUAUCAAACAGGAUUAGAUACCCUUGUAGUC
rnacentral:rRNA from 1 species